UACGAAGGGAGCUAGCGUUGUUCGGAAUUACUGGGCGUAAAGGGCGCGUAGGCGGUUCGACAAGUUGGAUGUGAAAGCCCAGGGCUCAACCCUGGAAUUGCAUUCAAGACUGUUUUACUUGAAUUCGGUAGAGGUGAGUGGAAUUCCCAGUGUAGAGGUGAAAUUCGUAGAGAUUGGGAAGAACACCAGUGGCGAAGGCGGCUCACUGGCCCGAUACUGACGCUGAGGUGCGAAAGCGUGGGGAGCAAACAGG
rnacentral:rRNA from 1 species